CGGCAGGCUUAACACAUGCAAGUCGAACGGGCACUUCGGUGCUAGUGGCAGACGGGUGAGUAACACGUGGGAACGUACCUUUCGGUUCGGAAUAAUACAGGGAAACUUGUACUAAUACCGGAUACGCCCUUCGGGGGAAAGAUUUAUCGCCGAUAGAUCGGCCCGCGUCUGAUUAGCUAGUUGGUGAGGUAAUGGCUCACCAAGGCGACGAUCAGUAGCUGGUCUGAGAGGAUGAUCAGCCACACUGGGACUGAGACACGGCCCAGACUCC
rnacentral:rRNA from 2 species